UCUUCUCUUGGCCUUAGGCACCGUCAUCAGCCACCAAGUUCUCUAGAAAACCAUUGAAAGACAAACCUCUAUUUCAUCCCCUAUUUAAUCAAACUUCUUGCCUCUUUUCUAAUCAUUGACCAUGCCGCACCCUAGGUUGACUUGUCUGGCCUCCCUAUGACCCUGUCUGAAAGUCAUGGCCGCAGGUGAAUAGCCAAUGACUAAAAAAAUCAAGUCAAGGGCCAGAUCCCCUUGAUUUUGAGCCCUUUCCCAUGCUUUCUUGCUAGUCAAUCAUUGCUAUCUGCUAUCCACUGUGCUGGUCCC
rnacentral:lncRNA from 1 species